rnacentral:lncRNA from 1 species
AGAACUCAAGUUUUACAUGGUAGAAAGAGAUGUAUUUAUUACAAGUCCUGAUAGUACUCGAAGUGCAUAACUUAUUACAAUAAUGGGAAGGGUGAAGCCUUUCCAUAAGAGAUAUAUAAAAACAUUCUAAGCUUCAAGUCCUCCACAUGAAGUAACUAACCCAAAGAUAAGGGAAUAAAACUUCUCCUACAAAAACAACAAGGGAUAAAACCCUGAGUACGCAAUUACUCAGCAAGACUUACCCGACUAAAGAAAAGACUCUCAAGGGUAUGCUGGCUUUUGGGAAUCAAGGUAAAGCUCAUCAAAGUUUAAGGACUCAUUUUACAGAAAAGCUUACUAGAAGUGGGUCCUUAAGCCAAGUUUUAUUUCACAAGUUAGUUUAUUACCUGAAUCUUCUAGCCUGAAUCUAGCAUUUUCCUAAUCUAGAUCAUUCACUUGACCUACACUAGGUUGUUUUUAAAAUCCAAAUUUUGUUUCGCUUGUUAUCUACGAUGAAGGGUAGCGAUCCAGUCUUCAUAUCCGAGAAGUAACGGCGAUCCGAAUCGAUUAAUACCCAGCUGGGGAUCUCCAGCCACACGACAUAUGUAGCACUUAACCCUUGCAUAUGUCUACCAUUCCCACGGGUCCUCCACUACGUGAACCGGUCCGCGCCACCCGAGAGUACGGUACUCCACCAUCCAGCCACGUGCCAGGUGGGUACACGCCACUCCCGCCAUCUCUCCACUCCCAGUGCGCGAUUGUCUUUUCACAUAUGGAGUAGCCGGGUUCAGGCUUACCCAUGACGAGGUAUGUGGCCAGUUAAAAGGUCCUAGAUCAAGAGGCCUACAAUCGGUACGGUCCUUAAUCGACACAGACGGGCGACCUGUCCAGCUCAACGUCUGGUCUCAUUUUAAACAAAUUCUCAAAGUUUGAUACCUGGCAGAGGUACCCUGCUUGAAUGAUGAAUUCAUCCCCACGGAGGAUGCCUCCAUCAUCCCAAGCCCUUUUUCUUUUUAAAAAUCAUGAGUCAUAGAUCAAAAACAUUUUUCUUAAUCUAUAAGCAUAACUAAGCAUUACUAGUUUUUAUAAAACAGGUAACAAGGUAUGAUAAUCAAUCUUUCAAGGAUGGUAAUGCAUCAAGUGUUUAAUUAUUCAACUCCUAUUACCUAAUGCAGCAUAUAAGUGAUAAAAUUUUGUAAUACAAGGAAGGUGGCAAAUGCACCGGGACUUGCCUUUGUUGCAGAGACGGAGGUCUAAAUCCCUCUAUUAAACCCCAGUUAGAUGGCUCCCAUCACUUGAUGAACAGGCACUGAAGCAGACUCCUCUUCAGAAACCACUUCUUGAAUUUCAUCUUCUUCUUUUGGGAAUUCUACAUGUAAAGAUAUGAACAUGAAUGCUUAUGCUGAUGCAACUUGAAAAGAAAAUACUAAAAAGCAUCACAAGACUUACACCUUUCUAAACGUGCACACAAAAACUAAUAAAACCUUAAGAGAGCUAAAUACUCUAAUAUCACAACUCAAUUCACCAACUAAACUAGGAAACCUUGCCUCCAUAACCAACCAAGCUCUUCAUUUAUGCCUUAAGCAAGGAUCCAAACUGCAUGCACUACAAGUUAUAGUGUCCAAGAAUCAGCCACGAUUCACUGAACCUGCUUUCAGUUCUCUGAAUUCAUCUUCCAUUGCUCCAUUCCUCUCCCCAAUUUCUUCACCGUAACAAGCCCAACUAUUCACAUGAAACUUGUUUGCCUUACCUUGGUAUUUCACUUUGUUAUGGAACUCCUAACCUAAAACCCCAUGAUUUGGUCACCAAAGAGCUCCAAACUGAGCACCAACAGUGAAAUUCCAGUUUUCAGUUAACUGAAUCCAGUUUAUUAGCAAUACUGCUCCCUUUUGCUUUCUUCUUUGUUCAAGCCCAGAUAUCUAACAAUUCUUCUCAACAACCAACCAACCUUUGUGAACCAAUAUUACUCUCCUACUAUAGCCCUUCCCAUUUGGUAUAAAACCCCUAAGCUGAAAAUACUUAGAACAGUAACUAUGGUGCACAAAAGUUAGAGAAAAACACUGAAAAGUUCAGUUCCUCGAUCUGAAACAACACCUUACCAUGUCUGACAGAGAGUUUUGCAACAGGCUUUUCUCUAAAUUCCAUAAAUCAACAAGCCAAUCUACUUGUAUAAAACUGGUUCUCCUACACUUGGUCUUUCACCUUUCUAUAAAACUCUUAACCCAAUUCUGGUUUUAUUAAUUACCACAGAGCUCCAAAGUUGACUAAACAACACCCUGAACAGGUUAGCCCACUCCAAGUCUGACAGAGGGUUUUGUAACACUAUUUUCUCGCAAUUCCAUACGAGGGCUCAAUGUAUUUCCUUACUAUGAAUGGUUCCUCUAUAAUCUCUCUCCAUCUUUGUUACAACAGCUACUAGCUAACCCUAAACAGAUCUCAAGUUACAGAGCACCAAACUUGAAGUGGAAACGCAAAGGCUAAAUUUCAGCUAACUGAAAAAGACCUGAACACAACACCUGACAUAGAAAAUUGCAGCACAUAUUUCUCCAUAUUUUACACAGUAGUAAACCCCACUCCUCUGAUGAAGCUUGUUCACCUUCAUCUGGUCUUUGACUUUUCUAUACAACUGGUAACCCAAAACCUCAUGAACUGGUCAUAGGAGAGCUCCAAACUGAGCAAUCUGCUGCAAUCCAGUUUUCAGCUAAUCUGAACAAAAAUUCAGUCAGUGCAAACUCACAGUCCAUUUUUGGGCAGCUUUCACUCUAUUUUCCAUACACCCCCAAAUCAAACCUACUUAGGGCUUGUUCGGUUAUUCCUAUCCCAUAUGGAUUGGAUGAGAUUGGAAAAUUUUGUGAAAGAUUUUGACUUGUUUGGGAUUGAAACCCGUCCAAUCCCACCCAAUCCACAUGGAUUGAGAGCAAAACGAACAGACCCUUAAGGAGAAUGGUUUACCAUCAUAUGAGCUUCUCUAUCUUAUGCAGAGCACAAAAUAUGCACAACUCGACUGAGAAAACCCUUGAAGUUACCUGGUCACGGCGAGGUGGACUAACUGCCGAUGAUGGUCACCACCUAGGGACUGGUACACCAAGCUCUGGGCAGAUGGACCAAGAUAUUGGGAGGGGAUUAACUCCGAGGAAACAUAGGCUACAAGAGCCAAGGAGAUCACUCGAGCUCUAGGACUGCACGGCCUACUGGACCAUGACUUAAGUAGGAGAUGGGAAGACUAGGGCAGAUCGAGUUGGUGGCUGGGAAGAGGAGCUUAGACUUACAAACACGAACCGCUAAGACACCAAGUGAAGCAACUAAAACUUGAGAACAGCAGGGAUUACAGCAGCAGUAUUUAAGCAAAGGGAUGGGGAGACAGAUGUUCCAGAGCUCGGCCAGGACAUGAUGGAGGAGGACGCCGGGGACGCCAGCAGCCCCACGAUUAUGGACACGUAGCAGGAGUGCAUGGACAGCACAUAGGAGGUAAACGCAGGGGUGAUGAACCUCAUCCACGGCUGGGCACAAGACGACAAGCAGACAGGAGGAUGUGUCUGUUGUGAUCAAUCUAGUACAAGUUCAAUACAGUCCUUAGCUAGUAAACCAAGUCUCACGACCCUACCUCAUACCAGCCUUCACUUAUCCAAACAUUCCCUGGAAACCCAUAGAGUCCGUAGUGGGUGAAGAUCUUUACUGCAGAUAUUUUUGAUCCAUAUUGGACUGCCACUGCUCCACUUCACUUCUUCAUGUUCAGUGCCCUUAAUCUCACAAUUUCAUACAAUAACUAACCCUUCUUCCUUAACCAAAUUUAGUCACCAACUACAGCCCUACCAACUUGGUAUAGCACCCCAAGGCUGCAACUAUACAGAACACAAGUUAUAGGCACCAAACUGGAGCCAAAAAGCACUGAAAAGUGCAGUUUCAGAUUAACUGAAGCAGCCCAAAACAGUCUGUCAGAGGGAGUUUAGAUGCAUACUACUCCAUAGUUUGCAUGAUACUAGGUCCAUCUCACUUUAGGAGACGUUUACCUCUUUAUUUGGUCUCUAAUUUCACUAUAUGAUUCUCAGUCCAAAUCUCAAUAGAAUGGUCACACUAGCACCACAAACUGGGUAUCAAGCACUGAAAUUUUGGUUUCAGCUGACUGAACUGAGUUCAGUCACAACCACUUUGACAGAGAAGAUUGGGAUAUACUUUACUCCUAGGUUUAUGUAGAACCAAGUCUAACUCUCUUUAGGAAACUUGUUCUCUAUACUAUGGGCUCCAACUUUUCUAUGGAAACUUUAGUCCAAAACCACUUGGAUUGAUCACAAAUGAGCUCCAAAUUGGGCACCAUUUACUGAAUUUCAGUUUUAGUUAACUGAACCAAUUUCAGUCACCAGUAACCCAACAGUCCAUUUUCAGUUUACUUUUUCUCCACUUUUUGUGUAGGAUCAUAUCCAUCACCCUUAAAUACAUUUGUACACCAACUUAUGGUCUUCAAUUCCUCUAUAGAAACCAUAGCUCAAAACCUUAUGCAUUAUUCACAAGGAAGCUCCAAAGUAUGUCACAAUCACUGAAAUUCAGUUUUCAAUAACUGAAUAUAAUUAAGUUUCAGCCACAACACAGUCCCACUUUAAGCAGUUGUUACUCCAAUUCUUGUAUGGGAUCAUGUCCAUCACCCUUUAAGGAAGUUGUUCACCAAUAUAUGGUCUUUACUUCCUUCAUAAACAUCACAACCCAAAACCCUCUAGAUCAGCCAAAAACAGGCUCUAAAACAGCUAUCAAAACACAGAAAUCUGAUUUCAGACACUGUUCACAACCUGAAAUUUAAAAGUCUGACAGCCUCACUUUGGAUCACCUUUUUCUCCUAGUUGUAUAUAGUUCGAGGGCUGUGACACUUAAUAACAGUUGUUCUCUCAUACUUAUUCUACAAGUUUCCUAUAGUGGUCAUUAACCAAAACCUCUUGGAUUCCAAACUACAAUAGCUCAAAGUUUGCUCCAAUUGCUGAAAUUCAGAAUCUGAAUUUCACUAAGUCUGAAACCUACAAUUUCUGACAGCUUUACUUUGGACCAGGUUUUCUCUAAGUUCCAAACAGUUUUAGUGCUAGGUCACUUAACCAAACUUAUACUCCUCAUGUAGCUCUAUAAUUUUGUUACAAUGACCAUCUUCAAACUGUUUAUAGAUCAAAAGUUAUGAAGGCCAAAAAACAGAUAGUUGAUAUUAUUUUUUUAGCAAACUUCAAAUCUGAUUCAAAACUGAAUUAAGCUUUUUACUCCAACUUUUCCUCUCAAACUUGGAAUUCUCCAUACAUGAAAGUUUUUCAACUUUUCAAAAUCUACAACUUUGAUAUAUGGACCGCUAGCAAAUUCUCUCUAGAUUUAAAACUCCACUUUUGGGCUAGUUGAGGGUUUCAUUUGAGUUUGCCUUUCUCCAGACAAAUAUCUUCCAGUCUGAUCCCUCACUUAAAGCAAGGUUGCACUUUACCUCAAAGUCCAAUUUUGAUACUUGGAUUUCAUGGCCAAGGCAUUUUUAGCUUAGAAGUAGUUUGCUCUCACUCAACCACUCACUAACUCUUCAAACUCUUUAGUUCAUAUCAACGCAAGACACUAUCUUUGUUUCGAAAUUUUUAGACCUAGUAGAUGCACUUCAGGUGUAUCAAGCAAGAUAAUGCAAAUACUUAUGAUGACAUGUUAGAAUUUUAGUUAUUGUAACACCAGGGGUGUUACAAUAUUUAAGUUGUCUAAUAUCCUCUAGGCUCCCGUAUAUUACAACAACAUAAUAAUAAUUAAUAAGAGCAUUUGACAUUGAGGACGUUGACGGCAUGCAAAUCAACACAUACAAAUCAACCAAUCCUACAAAUUGAAACAUAAUCAAUCAUGCAAUGUGAAAAAUUAAGAAAAAAAUGAUUACUUGCCCGACGAUGCUCGACGGAUGCGGACGACGUGCGAAGGGCGGACCCUAGUCGUGGACACGCGGGCGAUCACGCGGAGCCGACGACGUUAGAGGCACGUAGACGUUGAGGCCUUGAGGGCGUUGACGGCAUGCGGACGAGGGCAGCGUGGACACGGGAAACAACGUCGGUGUGCAAUUCAUGGGCGGCGGGCAUAGGCGUGGUAGGGCAUCGGAGGCGGGUGCGGGCGCAACAGACGCGUGCAACUGCGAGCGCAGUGGCGUGGGACGAGCGAGAGGAGAGAGAGAGUAUGUGCGGGGCGGCGAGAGGAAGUGAGGGUGGCUGAGCGCCAUCUCUG